AUCCAAACCCCAGCAGAAGAUUACCCAGUUGACGUCACACGCAAGUCACAAGACCUGAUCCCUAAAGUUAUGGAGGUCUUCUGUGCAUGGUCAGGCUGCUCUGAGACACAAGCCUAUCCAGAGAACUUGAGGAUUCAUAAAGUCUACAGAGUCGUCUAUAAAAAUCUGUUGGAGGAGUUUGGCUCGGAGAAAAUCCUCCAACAGGCCGUGUCGACUCAGGACUCUUCAUUUGAUAGGAUUCUUGUCAAGUCUUUGAGUGAAGCGCUUCUCCACAGAUGUAAUGAGGCAUUGAGGGCAGCCUCAAGAACAUCAGUCAAAACCACCGGGCCUAAGGCUCUUCCACUGGCUGAGGAUGUGAGGGCUAGCAGCGGGAAACUAUCUUUUCUACAAAGGCUGGUCAGGCUGACAAGCAACUUAAAGCUAUUCAAGAAGGGGAACAAGAAGGAUUCCCACCGCUCUGAAUCAGAACAAGUACAGACCACUGCUGAAGAUGGCAUGCUGCCCAGCAUAGUGCCACAUGCUGCCAUGUCUGCACUGCCAAAGGAUCUCCCCGCCAGCUCCCAACAGGAGACGCCUCACAAACGUCCACUUCUCGUCAGGAUGUUUUCUGCCAUCUACAAAGGCCUGUUCAAGCCCUUCAAACAGUCCUUAAAGACCAAGUUUCCUCCAGGGGAGACCUUCUGAAACAGUCGCGAAGGAAACAGCCGACAGUUACAGUACUGUGUUGAAGAUAGAUGAUGACACUCUUAAAAGACAGGUCAUUCCUUUACAUGGAGCAGUUCCUUAAACCAGGUUAGAUUCAACACAGCCACCUCAAACUGGACUCCACCACUCCUUCAUAACGCUGGAUCUCUUCAUAAUGCUGCUCCUCAGUCACUGAGUGCAUUUACACUGAUGAGAUGUCCUGCUUAGCCUAGCUGAAAGGGGAGCUCUAACUAGUCCUGNNNNNNNNNNUUCAUAUUUUCCCUGUGACCCCCCUGCGUUACCAUACUCAAAGGAGCGGUUGCCUCCCUGAUAAACCCUGACCCUAAUGGUCGACUAUCUAAGGCAUGAACGGGGAAAGGCAUAUGCACAGGAACAAUGGGGAUCCCUAAACUAUGAGCUAAUCCUUUAUUACUGAAAUUCCCAGCCGCGCCUGAAUCUACUAGCACCUUAUGCUGGGAACACAGGGAAAAUUCAGGAAAAGUAACAGAGACAAACAUAUGUGCAACAGCGGGCUCUGGAUGAGAAUGGUGCUUACUCACCUGGGGUGACGCCAGAGUGCCCUGCCUUCUACCUCGAUUCCCAGAGGAACCAACCCGGCACCGACCAGCAGUGUGACCUCUGCGGCCACAUAUGGUGCACGAGAGGGAACCCCCUCCGGUCUCCCUGCGCACCGCACCUCCCAGCUCCAUGGGUAUCGGAGAGGGUGUGCGGGAGGAUGGAACAACCAGACCCCGAUCUGGACAUCCGCGAGCCGGAUGGACAGGUCCACCAGCUGGUCGAAGGUUAGGGUGGUGUCUCUGCAGACCAGCUCCCGAUGGACGUCCUCACAUAGACUACAGCGGUAAUUGUCGAUCAGGGCCCUGUUGCUCCAUCCAGCGCCGGCAGCCAGGGUCCUAAAGCCAGGGUAUUUGGUCCUAAACUCCAGCUCAAACUUCUGUGCGCUCCUCAUCUCCUGCCUCAGAUGGUAGAGGCGCUCACCUGCCGCUCUGCCCUCGGGUGGGUGGUCGAAUACUGUCCGGAAACAGCGGGUGAACUCCUCAAAAUCUUCCAAGGUCCACGGCUGGGGUACCUUCUCCUGCUGACUUCAUUUUGGUCGGAGAUUCUAUCACAGUCGUGUUUAUAGGUGGCAGGGAAGUCAGGCGCAGGAUAAUUAAAACUUGGUGGAAUGGAGUAGUUUAAUAACUUAAAACACAUAACUCCAAAACCAUGAAAUACAAUGAAACAAAGUGGGUACGAGGACCCGUCGCGCACCAAAUACAAAACACGAAUACUGAACAUAAAACAAUCUCUGACAAAGACAUGAGGGAAAACAGACGGUUAAAUACACAACAGGUAAUGAAUGGGAUUGAAACCAGGUGUAUAGUAAGACAAGAUAAAACCAAUGGAAAAUGAAAAAUGGAUCAAUGAUGGCUAGAAGACCGGUGACUUCGACCUCCGAGCACCACCCGAACAAGGAGAGGCUUCGACUUCCGCAGACGUUGUGACACCCACAGGGUGGGCUUUUUCAUACAUGCAGGAUUUUCUUUCCCAAUGUACCUCUAAAUGUAUUCUGCUCAACCAGUAUCUCCGUCUCAGACAGAUGACAACAAAUCCCCAGCCGUGAUACUAUCCUGACUGAAGCAGUAGGGUAUGUGUCAACACAAAUAUUGAUAAUAUCUCUCUGACUGGAAUAAGGUUCUCAUUGGCAAGGCUUUUCUUCGUCAAAGAGAGACAUCCAUACAACGGUAAAAAAACACCCGGAUCCCACUUUCUCUCACAUUUGACACCGUUCAGAGGUAAAUCAGGCACUCCUGAGAUAAACACUUCAUAGGAUGCCUGCCCUGUGCCUGAGCAGAAAGAUGAAACUGACUCUGAAAGCCCCACCAGCUCUACCCAGUACUGCUUUAUCUGCUCUGUCGGAAUGCGGGAGACUCUGUCAAAGGAGAUGAGGAUAUCAAAACACAAUGCUACACUCCAAAGUGCUGCCGUGGGGCUUUCCUGAGCUGAACAAACUAGCUGUAAAACCUCUCGCUUUCACUGGCUUCUAGAUCAGAGUGCUUGCAUCAUUGCUAUUUUACAAGAGAAUGAGAAAUCGACUGAAGGGAAACAGUCAACCAUGUUUCUUGUUUGAGAAAUUUGACUUCAUCUUGCCUCAUUCUUAAAAAGCUAGGGAUGAAAAUGAUCUAUUACAAUAAUAAAAAGCUACAACAAACGAACGCACAAUUCUGUAUUUCAUCACUUUCUACCUCUGUCAGACACACACACACACACACAGACACACACACACACACACACACACACACACACACACACACA
rnacentral:lncRNA from 13 species